CCGGCACGGUGGAGUAACACGUAUCCAACCCGCCGUCUACUCUUGGUCCGCCUUCUGAAAGGAAAGGAUUACCACGGAGUGGCAUCAUGAGUUCACAUGUCCGCAUGAUUAAAGGUAUUUUCCGGUAGACGAUGGGGAUGCGUUCCAUUAGAUAGUAGGCGGGGUAACGGCCCACCUAGUCAACGAUGGAUAGGGGUUCUGAGAGGAAGGUCCCCCACAUUGGAACUGAGACACGGUCCAA
rnacentral:rRNA from 1 species